GACGAACGCUGGCGGCGUGCUUAACACAUGCAAGUCGAACGGAAAGGCCCUGCUUUUGUGGGGUGCUCGAGUGGCGAACGGGUGAGUAACACGUGAGUAACCUGCCCUUGACUUUGGGAUAACUUCAGGAAACUGGGGCUAAUACCGGAUAGGAGCUCCUGCUGCAUGGUGGGGGUUGGAAAGUUUCGGCGGUUGGGGAUGGACUCGCGGCUUAUCAGCUUGUUGGUGGGGUAGUGGCUUACCAAGGCUUUGACGGGUAGCCGGCCUGAGAGGGUGACCGGCGACAUGAGGACUGAGAGACGGCCCAGACGCCUACGGGAGGCAGCAGUGGGGAAUAUUGCACAAUGGGCGGAAGCCUGAUGCAGAAACGCUGCGUGCGGGAUGACGGCCUUCGGGUUGUAAACCGCUUUCGCCUGUGACGAAGCGUGAGUGACGGUAAUGGGUAAAGAAGCACCGGCUAACUACGUG
rnacentral:rRNA from 1 species